rnacentral:rRNA from 1 species
AUUGAACGCUGGCGGCAGGCCUAACACAUGCAAGUCGAACGAGUGGCGGACGGGUGAGUAAUGUCUGGGAAACUGCCUGAUGGAGGGGGAUAACUACUGGAAACGGUAGCUAAUACCGCAUACCAUCGGAUGUGCCCAGAUGGGAUUAGCUAGUAGGGGGGGUAACGGCUCACCUAGGCGACGAGCCCUAGCUGGUCUGAGAGGAGGACCCUCCACACUGCAACUGAGACACGUUCCGGACCCCUACGGGAGGCAGCAGUGGGGAAUAUUGAACAAUGGGCGCAAGCCUGAUGCAGCCAUGCCGCGUGUAUGAAGAAGGCCUUCGGGUUGUAAAGUACUUUCAGCGGGGAGGCGUUACCCGCAGAAGAAGCACCGGCUAACUCCGUGCCAGCAGCCGCGGUAAUAC